AUUGAACGCUGGCGGCAGGCCUAACACAUGCAAGUCGAACGGUAACAGGAAGCAGCUGGCUGCGUCGCUGACGAGUGGCGGACGGGUGAGUAAUGUCUGGGAAGCUGCCGGAAGGAGGGGGUUAACUCCUGGAAACGGUAGCUAGUACCGCAUAAUUUCGCAAGGCCAAGGCGGGGGACGUUUGGGCCUCUUGCCAGCGGAAGUGCCCAGAUGGGAUAGGCUUGUUGGUGGGGCAGCGGCGUAGCAAGGCGACGAUGCCUAGCUGGUCUGACAGCAUCACUACCCAGCCUGUCACUGAGACACGGCCCCGACUCCUACGGUAGGCAGCAGUGGGGACUAUUGCGCAAUGCGCGCGUGCCUGAUGUAGCCAUGCCGCGUGUAUGCAGAAGGCCUUCGGGUUGUAGAGUGCUUUCAGCGGUGGGGAAGGGAAUCACGUUCAUCCCUUUGCUCAUUGACGUUACCCGCAGAAGAAGCCCCGGCUAACUCCGUG
rnacentral:rRNA from 1 species